CCUACGGGUGGCAGCAGUGGGGAAUAUUGGACAAUGGAGGAAACUCUGACCCAGCAACGCCGCGUGAAUGAUGAAGUUCUUCGGAUUGUAAAGUUCUUUUCUAAGGGAAGAAGAAAGUGACGGUACCUUAGGAAUAAGCGUCUGCUAACUACGUACCAGCAGCCGCGGUAAGACGUAGGAGGCAAGCGUUAUCCGGAAUGACUGGGCGUAAGGGGUGCGUAGGUUGUUUGACAAGUUGGUAGCGUAACUCCGGGGCUGAACCUCGGCAAUACUACCAAAACUGUAGGACUUGAGUGCAGGAGGGGCAAAUGGAAUUCCUAGUGUAGCGGGGGAAUGCGUAGAUAUGAGGAGGAACACCAGUGGCGAAGGCGAUUUGCUGGACUGUAACUGACACUGAGGCACGAAAGCGUGGGGAGCAAACAGGAUUAGAUACCCGAGUAGUC
rnacentral:rRNA from 1 species